AUGCCGAGAUAUUUCUUCCACAGCGCCGUCCGGCUAAACCCGACCAUCCGCUGGGCCGCCAAUUUUGGGAGUAGCAGGCAAAGGCCUACAGGAAGGAGGCGUAGAACCCUCUCCUCUUCCAGGUCUCGGCUCUCCGCCGUCGCCGCCGUCGCCAUGGGCAGCGCCUCCAAGCUGCUGUCCUCCCUCUUGCUCACCUCCUCCCCGCUCCGUCUCCGGCCCUCCGCCGCCGCCUUCGCGCUCAUCCUCUCCUCGCGCACCGCGGCAUCCCGCCGCCAACACCUGCUCUCCUCCCCCUCUCCCCUCCGCACGCUCUCCACCUCGGCCGCCGCCGCCGCCGCCUCACCCCUCCCCUACAGCUCCAGCUCCGCCUCGUCAACCCCACCGCUCCACGCCCCUUUCCCGGAAUGGUCCCGCCUGGUCGACCGCCUCGCGGCCGCCGGUUACGCCGCCCGCGCCCCCUCCCCCGCCGAUGAGCUCGCCGUCGCCUCCGGCAGCGGCCUGUCGGCCGAGGCGGAGUCCGCUGUGUCCUCCUGCCUGGCCUUCGCGCGCGACCGGCCCGACCUUCUCAGGUCGCUGCCGACGAAGGAUGUCGAGGUUGUGGUGUCUAAUGUUGCACCGGCCCUGUUCAAGGGAGGUGAGGAAUCUGCGCAGCGGCUGCAGCAAUACCUCGCGGGUGAAGAGGACAAUGCAAUUCAAUCAGUCAGAGCGGAAACCGUGGACAUUGUUCGGUACUUGUUAAGUUACACAUACAGUUCGUCAAACAACUAUUUAGAAGACAAAGAACUCACUGAUUCAGCUGUUAGAAAUAUCUUGGCUGAGCUAGUUAAUUCUAGUGGACUUCCCCACUCCUUCAGUUUUGCGGAGCCAACUGUUGAGAGUCAACCUGAGCGAUUCUCUAGGCAUCCAGGGCAAAAUGUUGAGAUGAAACGUGGUGACUGGAUUUGCACAAGAUGUAGCUUUAUGAACUUUGCAAGAAAUGCGAGGUGCCUUGAGUGCAAUGAGCAUCGGCCAAAGAAGAUGUUGACUGGCGGAGAGUGGGAAUGCCCUCAGUGUGAAUUCUAUAAUUAUGGGAGGAACAUGUCAUGCUUAAGAUGUGCUUGCAAAAGACCAGCGACAACUGCAUCUGCUGGUGCUGGUUUAGGCGGUGUAGCAGAGCUUCUUAGUGUAACUAAUGCUGGUAGAUCUGAAAUUGAGAGAAAACUUGCUGAAAGCGAUGAGAAGGCAGAAAGGUGGUUGAGCAAAGUAUCUCAACUUGACGAUUCUGCUGAUUUAAGUAGUCUGGCAGCUGAUGAGGAUUUUCCUGAGAUUAUGCCUAUGAGGAAGGGAGUCAAUAAAUUUGUAGUUAGCACACGCAAGACACCAUUGGAGAGAAGACUGGCAAGUGCACAGUACAGCAGUAACAAUAGCCCUCAAGCAACAGCAUCCGACUCCAAGAUUAGUCAAACUUUAGACAGGAUACUUGGGCGUUCGGCAUCCACUUCUGCCCCAAACAAUCAGUCUGAUAAUGGGGGUGUAAAUGCUGAGACUCCCAGGAAAUUAACAGGCCAUCUUGGUGAUAUCGACCCCGUUCCUUUUGUGCCAUUAUCUGCUGAUCUGUUUACCAAGCCACAGAAUGCAAAGAGUAAUGAACAGGCAGAUAGGGACUGUCAAAUAAAUAGGGAAACUGGUAGUUCCACACCCGGUAUCACACAGGCCUCAACUGAGAGGAAAGAUGUUGAUAGAUCAUUAGAUACUGCUGAGAAAUGGUCCAAGAAAGUCGCAGAACUCGACAGUGUAAAUGACCUUUCAAGUGCUAUUUCUGAUGAAGACUUUCCUGAUAUUAUGCCAAUGAGGAAGGGUGAGAACCGGUUUGUUAUUAGUAAGAAAAAAGACCGCUCGCUGACAUCACCACAGUACCAGAGGCGCAGUGUGCUUGAGCAGGCUGACAAUUCGGAUUUCGUCCCAUUUGUUCCGUUUCCUCCUGAUUAUUUUGCCAAGAAAGAUGCGCCAGCAGAGAGUACUCCAGAUACAGGAAUAGUUUCAGAAAGUUCUCCAUCAGCUGAUAAGCUGCCAGAAACAAAUGCUUCAUCAAGACAUUCGGGAGAUAGCCAAAACACCUCACAGGUGAUUGGCCCUCAGGGAAGUAGCAUCAUGAGUAAUGAGAACUGGAAUAAGAAUUACUCUCAGCAGAGCUCGAGUCCAGGUGGUUAUACACCUGGUGGAAGCAGCAGCCAGCAGUAUCAGCAGCAACCUUAUGAGAUGGGUGAUCGAUCUACUGGUACACCAAAUUCAGGCGCCUGGAACCCAAACUACUCCCAGGGGACGUCUACUGAUGUCAGAGGAGGAUCUAGCAACUAUCAGCAUCAACAGCAACCUCAUGAGGUGGGUGAUCGAUCUCGUGGAACUUCAAAUGCUGGUGCUUUGAACACAAAGUACUCCCAGGGGAGGUUUAAUGAUGGCAGAGGCGGAUCUAACAACUAUCAGCAUCAACAGCAACCUCACGAGGUGGGUGAUCGAUCUAGUGGCACUUCGAAUACUGUUGCUUGGAACACAAACCACUCCCAGGGGAGGUUUAAUGAUGGCAGAGGUGGAUCUAACAACUAUCAGCAUCAACAGCAACCUCGUGAAGUGGGCGAUCAAUCUAGUGGAACUUCGAAUACUGGUGCUUGGAACACAAACUAUUCCCAGUCCCAGGGGAGGUUUAAUGAUGGCAGAGGUGGAUCUGGCAACUAUCAGUAUCAGACACAACCUCAUCAGGCAGGUGGUCGACCCAGUGGCACUUCGAAUACCCACGCUCCAAACACAAACUACUCUCAGGGGAGCUUCAGUGAGGGUCGAGAUACAUCUACUUACAAUCAGGGAAGCUAUUCUACACAACCGUCUUAUACGCCCGGCUAUACUAAUCACAGCAACAACCAUGCUUGGAGCAGCAGCAACAACCAUAAUCCGAGUGGUUCACAUCCUGAUAGCAGGGUUGCUACUUGCGGCAUUGGUUCCACUAACCCUAAUCAAGCAACAGGCUACUCAAGCUACGGAAGUGGAGGUUAUACUGGAAAGAGUUUAGAAGGCUCUGCUGUGAAGGACCCUGAUCCUCUGGACAUGUCUGAGGAAGCCAAGGCCGAGAGAUGGUUCAGGAGGGCAGCCCAGAUCAAGGACAUCUCCGAGCUUGCCAACAUCCCUGACGAGGACUUCCCUGAGAUAAUGCCGAUGAGGAAGGGGGUGAACAGAUUCGUGGUGAGCAAGAGGAAGACACCGUUGGAGAGGAGGUUAACCUCUCCUCAGUACAGAAGGAACCUACCGAUCGUAAGCUCCGAGCCGGACAAAGAUGCUAGCUGA
rnacentral:rRNA from 1 species